AAGCGCUUGCCACCAGACUUGUCGGCGGUGGUCCGCCGGUCUUCUGACCGGUCCACUCGCCGCCGGCAGGCCAGCAUCGUCUGGGGCCGCCGGAUAGAGACGUCGGGAAUGUAGCUCCCUCGGGAGUGU
rnacentral:rRNA from 1 species